rnacentral:rRNA from 1 species
AUGGUUAGCGCUGCCCCGACCCCAAUGCUAGCCUUUCCAAAAACUAAAACUAAAAUUUCCAAGCGACAUGUAGAGAUUUCCGAGGGGAGCUUCUACUUGCAGAGAGAACUAGAAAAUGGUAAUGCACUAGGCAGACUGAUAGAAGAUUAUGCGCAAUCCUUGCACGUGCAUGAUGUCUCAGUACGUGUUAUUCUGCCUGCAACCUAUGAGUGGAGCCUUAGGUGGUGCCGCCUGGAAAGGUGCCUGAAAUUGGAUAUCGGUACCUUCACAAAUACCUAUGAAAUUUGGAAAUUGGAGACCUUCUGGGCGUCGGAGCUCCUAAUGACACGCUGGAUUUGGAGUGAAAGUUCAGCCAUCUUGCUCUACUUCAAGAAUCUAUGCCACCUACACCUACUUCAAGACUUCACCUACGCCCGUCCACUCGCGCUACUACAAGAAGAAACUACCCAGGGUCUCCGUCCUCAGGUGAAGUCUGCACCGCUGCUGCUGUUAGUGCUCUGGAGUUCAAACUUGCCAAUGACAACGAGGGAAGCUCCUCCUCCUGUGUUUGGUUUGCUAUUGUGUUCUUGCUUGGACUGCUAUUUUGUGUUGUGUUGCCAAUAUAUGCCUCAGGCGCGAGAGCCUGUCAAAUAA